rnacentral:rRNA from 1 species
UACGGAGGGUGCAAGCGUUAUCCGGAUUCACUGGGUUUAAAGGGUGCGUAGGCGGGUUGGAAAGUCAGUGGUGAAAUCUUCAAGCUUAACUUGGAAACUGCCGUUGAUACUAUCAAUCUUGAAUAUUGUGGAGGUAAGCGGAAUAUGUCAUGUAGCGGUGAAAUGCUUAGAUAUGACAUAGAACACCGAUAGCGAAGGCAGCUUGCUACACAAUGAUUGACGCUGAGGCACGAAAGCGUGGGGAUCAAACAGG